AUGUGUGGAUAUUUUAUCUUUGUGCUAUUUAAGCACAUAACAGUUCAGCGGAGAGGUAAAGAUCCUCAACCACAGUGCUGCCAUGAAGAUGCUAAUUUAUUCACAUGCCCUUUCUGCUCAUGUGACAUAUACAAGCCAUGCCAGUAUCAUCAAAUAUUGACCCAUAUAGCUGGAUAUAAACUAAGAUCUGUUGAACAUGGAGAUUAUGUUAUAUACAGCUGUGGCCUUGGCUGUGGUCAAAAGGCCAAACAUUUUCACAGCUGUCAGUGUCCACAGACCUACAUAAAUAAAGGUGCCUUAAAAGAGCCUCUUUGCAAAAACACCCCAUAUCUGCUUUUACUGCUGAUCUACAACCAGUUGCUCGUCCAUGCAGCACAAGAAACAUCUUUGCAGCAACCAGUCGCUCGUCCAGCACAAGAAACAUCUUUGCAGCAACCAGUCGCUCGUCCAGCACAAGAAACAUCUUUGCAGCAACCAGUCGCUCGUCCAGCACAAGAAACAUCUUUGCAGCAACCAGCUGCUCGUCCAGCACAAGAAACAUCUUUGCAGCAACCAGUGGCUUGUCCAGCACAAGAAACAUCUUUGCAGCAACCAGUUGCUCGUCCAGCACAAGAAACAUCUUUGCAGCAACCAGUCGUUCAUCCAGUAGAAUCAGCAGCUCCACUAGUGAUUAAGAGAAAGAAAAUCACAGUGAGUUGCCCUCACUGUGGAGUAAGUCUGAAUUCUAAAAAUGUAAAAAAACACAUUGAGCGUAAACAUGAAGCCAUAAAUCCCAUAACUUCAACUUCUCAUCUACCAGCACAGUGUGUUGAUAAAAAGAAUGGGAUAUAUGUAGUGGCAAAAACAUUUUGAGGGCCCUGUAUCCCCAUUCAUAUGGCGAAAAAAAUUUGGGGCUCAUCACACAAGGUUAUGUGUGAAAUGGAUGUCUGCAACACAUGUGCUGAAAUAGCACAAAGGAGUGACCUUUUGGUAACACCAUGUGUUCAUCUAAGGUCAGUAGACUACUCCAGUGCUAUUGCACCUAAUGAAGAUUUAUCAGAAGAUGUGUUAACUGAGAUGGUCGAGCAAAAAUGGUUUGGUGACACAAGAAAAAAAUCAAUGCCUUAAACAGCGAGAUCAGGCUAAAAGUAAAGGUGCCACAUUUACUAGCCUUGUUACUAUUUGAGGCCCUGACUACAAGUAUUAUAUAUCCGUAUGUGGCGGUAUCAUAUGAAAGGAAAAGUUAAUCAGUGAAUUUAACCGACUACGCCACCCUGGUGGGAAACCAGAGAAUUUAUUCCUAUUAAAGGACACAGGUAAGUUUCACCAAAUGAAGGCAAAGUAGGGGAGACGGGGGCGAGAAUACAAAAGAUUGGAUUUUAUUAUAAAAACACACACAUAGAUUUAAAACUCACACAAACCAUUUCCACAAUAAGGGAGGUAAUUCCCAGGGCCAGGAUUAGUGGUAACCAGGCAGGUCGGCUGCAACUCAGAAUGGUUAUCCAAAAACCCACCUAAAUUCACACCAAAGCAACCAUCACACACACCAAUGGGAAAUUGUAUCCACACACACCGCACACUGUGACACACUGCAGAAUGACAGCAGCUAGCCUCCCCAGUUCCACCCGAUCCUCACUGGCCCUGGAGAAACAGAAAAUAACAUUAAAGAAGAAAUUCAAC
rnacentral:lncRNA from 12 species